ACCGAAUAGAUACCCUGGUAGUCCACGCCGUAAACGAUGGAAGCUAGCCGUUGGCAGGUUUACCUGUCGGUGGCGCAGCUAAACGCAUUAAGCUUCCCGCCUGGGGAGUACGGUCGCAAGAUUAAAACUCAAAGGAAUUGACGGGGCCCGGCACAAGCGGUGGAGCAUGUGGUUUAAUUACGAAGCAACGCGCAGAACCUUACCAGCCCUUGUACAUCCCGGUCGCGGUUACGAGAGAUCGUAUCCUUCAGUUCGGUCUGGACCGGUGACAGGUGCUGCAUGGCUGUCGUCGGCUCGUGUCGUGAGAUGUUGGGUUAAGUCCCGCAACGAGCGCAACCCUCGCCCCUACGUUGCCAUCAUUCAGUUGGGUCACUCUAGGGGGU
rnacentral:rRNA from 1 species